GUAAUAGUAAAAAGUUGUAAUAGAGUAAAGUUGUAAUAUAGUAAAGUUGUAAUAUAGUAGAGUAAAGUUGUAAUAGAGUAAAGUUGUAAUAGUAAAAAGUUGUAAUAGAGUAAAGUUGUAAUAGUAAAAAGUUGUAAUAGAGUAAAGUUGUAAUAGUAAAAAGUUGUAAUAGAGUAAAGUUGUAAUAGAGUAAAGUUGUAAUAGUAAAAAGUUGUACUAGAGUAAAGUUGUAGUAGAGUAAAGUUGUAAUAGAGUAAAGUUGUAUUAGUAAAAAGUUGUAAUAGAGUAAAGUUGUAAUAGUAAAAAGUUGUAAUAGAGUAAAGUUGUAAUAUAGUAAAGUUGUAAUAUAGUAGAGUAAAGUUGUAAUAGAGUAAAGUUGUAAUAGUAAAAAGUUGUAAUAGAGUAAAGGUGUAAUAGUAAAAAGUUGUAAUAGAGUAAAGUUGUAAUAGAGUAAAGUUGUAAUAGUAAAAAGUUGUAAUAGAGUAAAGUUGUAAUAUAGUAAAGUUGUAAUACAGUAAAGUUGUAAUAGAGUAAAGUUGUAAUAGUAAAAAGUUGUAAUAGAGUAAAGUUGUAAUAGUAAAAAGUUGUAAUAGUAAAAAGUUGGAAUAGAGUAAAGUUGUAAUAUAGUAAAGUUGUAAUAGAGAAAAGUUGUAAUAGUAAAAAGUUGUAAUAAAGUAAAGUUGUAACAGAGUAAAGUUGUAAUAGAGAAAAGAUGUAAUAGUAAAAAGUUGUAAUAGAGUAAAGUUGUAAUAGAGUAAAGUUGUAAUAGAGUAAAGUUGUAAUAGUAAAAAGUUGUAAUAGAGAAAAGUUGUAAUAUAAAACAGUUGUAAUAGAGUAAAGUUGUAAUAGUAAAACGUUGUAAUAGAGUAAAGUUGGAAUAUAUUAAAGUUGUAAUAGAGUAAAGUUGUAAUCGAGAAAAGUUGUAAUAGUAAAAAGCUGUAAUAGAGUAAAGUUGUAAUAGUAAAAAGUUGUAAUAGAGUAAAGUUGUAAUAGUAAAAAGUUGUAAUAGAGUAAAGUUGUAAUAGUAAAAAGUUGUAAU
ensembl:lncRNA